AACGUUAGCGUGCUUUUUUCCCCAGCUAGAUAGACUGUCUCAGAUCCAGUUGAGAAGACCUCGGCAAAAGGCCUUUUUCAAAUAUCGCAUGUUUUGUGGGAUUCGAUUAUGCUGUUGUAUACAUUACAUAACCUAAACCUCCGUUUCUAUCUUCAUUUAUGUUCUUGUGAGGGUGAUUAUCGGCAGGUCGUUAACAAGUAAGGGGUUGAGAGAGGCUACAGCAGCAUCUGAGCUGUACUGUCCCUAUCCACCGUAGCCGAGGAACGCUCACCUACGUUUUCUUAUGAGAACGAAACGUUCAACUACGUUUUUUUUAUGAGAUCGGAGUUGAGCGUUCCGUCGCUCUCUUCCCUAGACUAUUUCUGAGUUUUAAAGAUGCACUAUGCAGAAGCAGCUCCGCCAUUUCUUGGUUGCUAAAAUUCUAAUAGUUAACCUCAUUUCAGUUAAUCUGACAAAACAAGUAAGUAUAGUGUAGAGAAUCAUUGUACUAUCUAAACCGCUAUGAAAUAUAUUUCCCAUAACCAAAAAUAUUGUAUUUGCAGCUGUUUGAAGCUGGUGUACAAUACCAAAAGUAAAAGAUGCAAAAAACGAAACCUAAGUAAUGGAAGCAAUAGAUAGUGAACAUAGAACAUAUCUACUGCUUCUUAGACUUGCUUUCAAUGAGUGAAAGAUCUGUAACUCAUAUUCCUGUGUGAAUUUGGUGGACAUAAACCUAGCGGUAUAACACAGAAAUGGUUCCAAUCGUUUUUCCACCUUUUCGUUUGACCCAUUGUGGAUUUUAGAAACGCUUCAAUUAAGGGCUGUGUUUUCAUGUAGGUUUACCUUGCCGGGACGCUUUGAUAUUGCCAUACAUGUUUAAUGCUUUUCGACCUGUCCCCAAAUUAAUGUCAUUGGUUCAGAGUUUGUUUUGAUAUUUUAACCUGCGUGUCUGAUAGCGUUUGGUGUGGGGGGGACAGAAUAAAUGUAUGCACGAUGGCGCACGCGCGCUGCCGGUUUGGGUUCCGUGUAAUGCGGCAAUCAUCUAGAACUACAAAUGCCUGUCUCAAGCUUAACACUCACCGGGGCCUUGAAGAUCUGGACAAUACUGCCAAAUCGAGGCAAAGAACCAGUGGGUGUGCUUGAGUCUUGCCACCUCUCAACUAGUUGAACUUGUUGACUGAUGCCGUGGCGGCGGCUGCUAAGACGGCAGCAGCUGCGAACCAGAAGACUGCAGCCCUGGUCCACUCCUGCCCUGUCUGUCGGUUGAGUAGUAUUGAUGCAGACCCGAAGUCGUUCAAGCAGCACUUUGAGAGCAAGCAUUCCAAGUCUCCAGUGUUCCCAGUGCUGGUUGAUGUGCAGGUCCAAGGAAGCACAUACACCAGCUGUAGGUCCAUUUGAGUACACAUGAUGACCACGAAUUGAAUGCUGCAACUGAGACGGAAUGACGUCAAGGGACACACUGAGACCCCGAGUAUGACUGGACAUGGGCCUAAAAGGGCUUCAGAAGCACACAAGCACCCCAUUUUAUGUUUAUUCUAUGGUCAACCAUCUCUCUAGUUAACCAUUACUCCACACUAUACCUUUUAUGGUCCCUCAACUUUCAACACUUCGAGAGUUUCAAUCUUAUCUCUAUAAACCCACCCUACCUUCACCCAUUUUCCCUAUGCUGCUUCCUUCACUUGUUCUUCUCCUGAUUUGAUAACAUCUAGACUCAGUAACAUGUUAAAGUGUUGUGGUGUACUGUUUUUGCUACCUCUUUUUCACCUGUGUAAUUUUGUCAUCCUGCUGCUUAUUCUGGGGUUCAGACUGAAUGCAGUGGUAAAUAAUCUGCUCACAAUUGACAGCAGCAACAUGGACCUGUUAAAUUGACAAGGAGGGUGUUGUUAUAGCUGUGUUUAGGCAUGGCUUCCUUGUUUUGAGUAUACAUUUGUUUCUCAUUCUCCUGGAGUUGGCUAGGUUUUAUAAAAAAUACUAUUAAAAUGUGUAACUUGCCUACCAAAAUCACACUAUUCUGUUAUUUGUACUGGUCUAAUUCCUAAAAUGGAAAAGCAGAAUCUGUGUGCUCUCGGAUAAUAGUAGUUCAUAUUGUGCUCUUUGACGUUCCAGGUUUAUGACAUUGAUGAUUAAAUCAUUUUUUAAUGUUG